UAUAUCUUGGCUACGCCCUGUCUAUUUACCCAUAUUUAGGGUUUUAGCGUGAUUCAACUUCACCAUUGCAACCAUUUUUGAAAUUAACAUGAUGGAUUCCUAUUACAUUUGUUCUUCUCCCCUAACCUUCUUCCUUAUUAUCGUGAUGAAGAUUAAUCAGGAUCGACUAUUGACAGGAGCAAGGUGCUCGAUGACACAAGGACCAAAAGAAGAAUUGAGGGCCCGUUUCCUUCAUCCAAUUUCAGGUCCAAGCUACCUAAUUGCAUAACGAGGCUCUAAAAACAAUAAUCAAAGUUUUCAAGAAUUGUGUUCGAGUCUAUGUAUUUGAUUGUAUGUAUAUGGUUUUUAGUGUGUUUGUAUAUGAAUAUGUGUAAUUAUGGGUGUGUGCAAUUGUAUUUAUUUGACCUAUGUAUGUGGUUGUUAAUGGGAUUUAAAAAAGUUCAAAAAAAUAGAGAAUUUUGUUAAAA